rnacentral:rRNA from 1 species
AAUGAACGUUGGCGGCGUGGAUUAGGCAUGCAAGUCGUGCGGAAUGGCUCCUUCGGGAGUACUCGAGCGGCGAAAGGGAGAGUAACGCGUGGAUAUCUACCCCCUGGACUGGGAUAGCGGCGGGAAACUGCCGGUAAUACCAGAUAAUGUCUGCGGACCAAAGGUGUGAUUCCGCCGGGGGAUGAGUCCGCGUCCUGUUAGCUAGUUGGUGUGGUAAUGGCUCACCCAGGCUAAGAUGGGUACCGGGUGUGAGAGGAUGGCCCGGCUCACGGGGACUGAGACACGGCCCAGAACCCUACGGGUGGCUGCAGUCGAGAAGCUGCGGCAAUGGGCGCAAGCCUGACCGAGCGACGCCGCGUGCGGGAUGAAGGCCUUCGGGUUGUAAACCGCUGUCAGAGGGGAGGAAAUGCGUGAGGGUUCUCUCUCACGUUUGACCUAUCCUCAGAGGAAGUACGGGCUAAGUUCGUGCCAGCAGCCGCAGUAACAC